UACGAAGGGGGCUAGCGUUGCUCGGAAUCACUGGGCGUAAAGCGCACGUAGGCGGAUUGCUAAGUCAGGGGUGAAAUCCUGGAGCUCAACUCCAGAACUGCCCUUGAUACUGGCGGUCUCGAGUCCGGGAGAGGUGAGUGGAACUGCGAGUGUAGAGGUGAAAUUCGUAGAUAUUCGCAAGAACACCAGUGGCGAAGGCGGCUUGCUGGGCUCGGUCUGACGCUGAGGCGCGAAAGCGUGGGGAGCGAACAGG
rnacentral:rRNA from 1 species